GAAACAUCUGGCGAAAAGCACAGGGUUGAACUAAUCGUCAAAGUUAACGCCUGACUCGUAGUUGUUAACACUUUGCAGAACGAACUAAAACUAAGUGUAAAUUAAAAAUACAGUGAAAAACAAAUGUUUUGCUGCAGUUCGACUGCCUGUGUGGUAACACAUGCCAUGCGCUGCGGCACGAGCCACGUCAGUUUAACUUUCUGUGCGUCAAGAAAAGUACCGGUUUUAAAAGCUGUAUUGCUUGUAGCAGUAGGAAGAGUUUAUAAGUUUUAUAUGAAAAUCCCACCUCACACCUGCCGCGGCACUGGGACCUGUCAGCUACUGGGGUACAACACCAACUUCAAAACAGGAGUACGACGCUGACAAGAUGGACAGUAAAAGAACUAAAACGAGCUUAAUCCCAGAGGGGGAACAAGCAUCCCUGCACUGUAAAAGGUCUCCUGCA